rnacentral:rRNA from 1 species
AGAGUUUGAUUAUGGCUCAGAACGAACGCUUGCUGCAUGCUUUAUACAUGCAAGUCGAACGGAGGCCCUAGCUUGCUAGGUGUCCUUAGUGGCGCACGGGUGAGUAACACGUGGGAACAUACCUUAUAGUACGGAAUAACUGCGGGAAACUGUAGCUAAUACCGUAUACUCCAGUAAUGGGAAAGAUUUAUCGCUAUAAGAUUGGCCCGCGCAAGAUUAGCUUGUUGGUGAGGUAAAAGCUCACCAAGGCUUCGAUCUUUAGCUGGUUUGAGAGGACGAUCAGCCACACUGGGACUGAGACACGGCCCAGACUCCUACGGGAGGCAGCAGUAGGGAAUAUUGGACAAUGGGGGCAACCCUGAUCCAGCAAUGCAGCGUGAGUGACGAAGGCCUUAGGGUUGUAAAACUCUUUCAUCGGUGAGGAUAAUGACAGUAGCCGAAGAAGAAGGACCGGCUAAUUCCGUGCCAGCAGCCGCGGUAAUACGGAAGGUCCUAGCGUUGUUCGGAAUUACUGGGCGUAAAGCGCAUGUAGGCGGAACAGAAAGUUAGAAGUGAAAUCCCUGGGCUCAACCUAGGAAUUGCUUUUAAAACUUCUGUUCUGGAAUUCAGGAGAGGAAAAUGGAAUUUCCAGUGUAGAGGUGAAAUUCGUAGAUAUUGGAAGGAACACCAGUGGCGAAGGCGAUUUUCUGGACUGAUAUUGACGCUGAGAUGCGAAGGCAUGGGUAGCAAACGGGAUUAGAUACCCCGGUAGUCCAUGCAGUAAACGAUGGGUGCUAGUCGUCGGACUUUUGUUCGGUGUCGUAGCUAACGCGUUAAGCACCCCGCCUGGGGAGUACGGUCGCAAGAUUAAAAC